UACGUAGGGUGCGAGCGUUAAUCGGAUUUACUGGGCGUAAAGCGUGCGCAGGCGGUGCGGUAAGUCAGGGGUUAAAGGCUGCAGCUCAACUGCAGUAAGGCCUUUGAUACUAUCGCGCUAGAGUACCAGAGAGGAUGGCGGAAUUCCCGGUGUAGCGGUGAAAUCCGUAGAUAUCGGGAGGAACACCAGUAGCGAAGGCGGCCAUCUGGCUGAUAACUGACGCUGAGGUGCGAGAGCGUGGGGAGCAAACAGG
rnacentral:rRNA from 1 species